UACAGAGGUCUCAAGCGUUGUUCGGAUUCAUUGGGCGUAAAGGGUGUGUAGGUGGCGCCGUAAGUCGGGUGUGAAAUUUCGGAGCUUAACUCCGAAACUGCAUUCGAUACUGCGGUGCUUGAGGACUGGAGAGGAGACUGGAAUUCAUGGUGUAGCAGUGAAAUGCGUAGAGAUCAUGAGGAAGACCAGUGGCGAAGGCGGGUCUCUGGGCAUUUCCUGACGCUGAGGCGCGAAAGCGUGGGGAGCAAACGGG
rnacentral:rRNA from 1 species